UUCCCCUGAGUUAUUAAUGUCAGCCAUUUCUGUUCUUCUCAUUUAUGAAACCCUAGCUAUUCUCAUCAAUUCUAUUUUGUUCUAUAACAAUUGAAAACUAUGAGAUGGUUUUCUCUGAGAAUUUUUUUUCGCUUUGGUAUUGAUCGAUAACAUGGAAUCAUCGAUCAAAGGAUUUUUCCUAAAAUGGUUCAUUCUUUUAGCAGAUGGAAGGACACAUUGAAUUUGCAAAGGUAAAUAAACAACUUAACCCAAAAUGUUUUACAUCAUAUCUUCAAUUGAUUUUCAAAUGAGAUCAAUUUUUAAUUGAUUCUCAUAAACCUAUGCGUAUCAAGAAAUCUGUCCAAUCGAUCGAUUAAUUUCAGAAGGGAAAUUAAGGUUUGCAGAUUUGGCGCGGCUCCAGUGUUGCUUCACCUGUGCAAGGUCAUUUCUUUCAACUUUUUCUCGGUUGAUUAUAACAGUUUGUUGUUUUUCUUGGGUGUUUAAGGUGGUUUUUGAUCGUCUUAAUUAUAGGUAAUUUAUCUGAUUAUGUUUUAUCAAUGAAAUUACAUUUGUUUAACUAGAUUAUGUUUGUACAUAUAUCACGGAUUCUGGGGUGGUUUAACACGUUCCAUUUUGAUUUUAUAUAUAUUUCAGUUUUAUGUAUUAACUUCAUAUUGGUGUUCAAGUCGUUGGAGUAUUACAGAUGAAAUUUAAGUACAAAGAAAAUUGAGUGACCAAGUUGAGUCUAUUAAAAAGGAACGGAGGGAGUAUAUUGUUAUAGUGACUCUCAUACAAUUGGGAAGAGAAGCAAGAGAUAUUGAAUAGUGAUGAAUAUUUAGAUUCGGAAUACCAUGAUUAGUGGGAUAUGCAGAAGAUGACCUUUAUGGUGAAGCUCCCGAGAUGUGAUCAAUAGAUAGUAUAUCUUCAUGGCCACUAUUUUUAAAGCAUAAGAGAUCGAACGUAGAAGGCUUCAUUUUUUUUGGAAAGGUAUUGACUCAGUUCUAUGUAUGAUUUAUCGCUUUUCACCAUCAGUUUGUGCGGUUAAGGUGGUGCAUUAAAGUGACUGUUGUCACAAACCCGUCUUGAAUGAACGGGUCAGUGCAACUGACUAAGUGGUGGUCCGUAGAUAUGGAAAAGUGGCAAGUACUUGGGUGUAUUAAAAUAGUGAUGUCCUAAUGAAGAGGGUUGCUUAAUGAUUUUGUUAA